rnacentral:rRNA from 1 species
CUACGGAAUAGCUCCGGGAAACUGGAAUUAAUACCGUAUACGCCCUCCGGGGGAAAGAUUUAUCGGUGAAAGAUCGGUCCGCGUUAGAUUAGAUAGUUGGUGGGGUAAUGGCCUACCAAGUCUACGAUCUAUAGCUGGUCUGAGAGGAUGAUCAGCCACACUGGGACUGAGACACGGCCCAGACUCCUACGGGAGGCAGCAGUGGGGAAUCUUGCACAAUGGGCGAAAGCCUGAUGCAGCCAUGCCGCGUGAAUGAUGAAGGCCUUAGGGUUGUAAAAUUCUUUCGCUAGGGACGAUAAUGACGGUACCUAGUAAAGAAGCCCCGGCUAACUUCGUGCCAGCAGCCGCGGUAAUACGAAGGGGGCUAGCGUUGUUCGGAAUUACUGGGCGUAAAGCGCGCGUAGGCGGACUAUCAAGUUGGAUGUGAAAUCCCAGGGCUCAACUCUGGAACUGCAUUCAAAACUGGUAGUCUAGAGGCCAGGAGAGGUCAGUGGAAUACCGAGUGUAGAGGUGAAAUUCGUAGAUAUUCGGUGGAACACCAGUGGCGAAG